UUCCGUAGGUGAACCUGCGGAAGGAUCAUUAAUAGUGCCCUCUGAUGCAAAUCAUUGGGUUAGAUCUGCUCUCUUCGCAAGAAGAGGGUUUCCAUACACACCGUGAACUGUGGCUUCGGCCAUCACAAACUGUUAGUAAUGAAUGUAAUAUCAUAACAAAAACAAAACUUUUAACAACGGAUCUCUUGGCUCUCGCAUCGAUGAAGAACGCAGCGAAAUGCGAUAAGUAAUGUGAAUUGCAGAAUUCAGUGAAUCAUCGAAUCUUUGAACGCACCUUGCGCCCUUUGGUAUUCCGAAGGGCAUGCCUGUUUGAGUGUCAUGAAACCUCACCCCACUUGGGUUUUUGCCUGAGCGGUGGUGUAUUGGGUAUUGCCUUGCUAAAGGCUCGCCUUAAAGACAUAAGCACCUUGGAUGUAAUACGUUUCAUCCUUCUGGGUGGCUGAUAACCCCACAUAUUCAUGAUCUGGCCUCAAAUCAGGUAGGGCUACCCGCUGAACUUAAGCAUAUCAAUAAGCGGAGGA
rnacentral:rRNA from 1 species